rnacentral:rRNA from 1 species
CAGUAGCCGCGGUAAGACGAACCGUGCGAACGUUAUUCGGAAUCACUGGGCUUAAAGCGCGUGUAGGCGGGAGGGCACGUCCGUCGCUGAAAUCCCCCGGCUCAACCGGGGAACGGGCGCGGAUACGACUCUUCUGGAGGAACGUAGGGGGACCUGGAACUUCCGGUGGAGCGGUGAAAUGCGUUGAGAUCGGAAGGAACGCCCGUGGCGAAAGCGAGGUCCUGGACGUUUACUGACGCUGAGACGCGAAAGCCAGGGGAGCGAACGGGAUUAGAUACCCCGGUAGUCCCUGUCUCUUAUU